rnacentral:rRNA from 1 species
CGGCGGACGGGUGAGUAACGCGUGGGUAACCUGCCUUACACAGGGGGAUAACACUGGGAAACCAGAGCUAAUACCGCAUAACAUCAUUUUAUGGCAUCAUGAAAUGAUCAAAGGAGAAAUCCGGUGUAAGAUGGGCCCGCGUCCGAUUAGCUAGUUGGUGAGGUAAUGGCUCACCAAGGCAGCGAUCGGUAGCCGGACUGAGAGGUUGGCCGGCCACAUUGGGACUGAGACACGGCCCAGACUCCUACGGGAGGCAGCAGUGGGGAAUAUUGCGCAAUGGGGGGAACCCUGACGCAGCGACGCCGCGUGAAGGAAGAAGGCCUUCGGGUUGUAAACUUCUUUGAUUGGGGAAGAAAAAUGACGGUACCCAAAGAACAAGCCACGGCUAACUACGUGCCAGCAGCCGCGGUAAUACGUAGGUGGCGAGCGUUAUCCGGAAUUACUGGGUGUA